rnacentral:rRNA from 1 species
CGCCAGACUCCUACGGGAGGCAGCAGUGGGGAAUAUUGCACAAUGGGGGAAACCCUGACGCAGCGACGCCGCGUGAGUGAAGAAGUAAUUCGUUAUGUAAAGCUCUAUCAGCAGGGAAGAAAAUGACGGUACCUGAAUAAGAAGCCCCGGCUAACUACGUGCCAGCAGCCGCGGUAAUACGUAGGGGGCAAGCGUUAUCCGGAAUUACUGGGUGUAAAGGGAGCGUAGACGGUGAUGUAAGUCUGGAGUGAAAGGCGGGGGCCCACCCCCCGGACUGCUCUGGAAACUAUGUGACUGGAGUGCAGGAGAGGUGAGCGGAAUUCCUAGUGUAGCGGUGAAAUGCGUAGAUAUUAGGAGGAACACCAGUGGCGAAGGCGGCUCACUGGACUGUAACUGACGUUGAGGCUCGAAAGCGUGGGGAGCAAACAGGAUUAGAUACCCUUGUAACG